GACGAACGCUGGCGGCGUGCCUAAUACAUGCAAGUAGAACGCUGAAGGAGGAGCUUGCUUCUCUGGAUGAGUUGCGAACGGGUGAGUAACGCGUAGGUAACCUGCCUGGUAGCGGGGGAUAACUAUUGGAAACGAUAGCUAAUACCGCAUAAGAGUAGAUGUUGCAUGACAUUUGCUUAAAAGGUGCAAUUGCAUCACUACCAGAUGGACCUGCGUUGUAUUAGCUAGUUGGUGGGGUAACGGCUCACCAAGGCGACGAUACAUAGCCGACCUGAGAGGGUGAUCGGCCACACUAGGACUGAGACACGGCCCAGACUCCUACGGGGGGCAGCCGUAGGGAAUCUUCGGCAAUGGACGGAAGUCUGACCGAGCAACGCCGCGUGAGUGAAGAAGGUUUUCGGAUCGUAAAGCUCUGUUGUAAGAGAAGAACGAGUGUGAGAGUGGAAAGUUCACACUGUGACGGUAUCUUACCAGAAAGGGACGGCUAACUACGUG
rnacentral:rRNA from 1 species